rnacentral:lncRNA from 1 species
AAAAAAAAAAAAAAAAACUCCUUUGGUUCACCUUGGAUCACAGGCUUGAUCUUCUCUGUUUUCUUUGGCACACACCUAAACGAUCCAGGGACAUUCACACAAGUUUGUCCUCCACACCUGCUUUGUCCUAAUUCUCCCUCACAUUCAUCAAUGUCUAGAGAACAAUUACAAAAAUGGCAGAAUCAAAUCAACAGAUCCAUAAUAAAAAUAAUUAAACAACAUUGAAGUCAAAUAAGAUGAAGAUCUUACCAACACAUCCACCCUGAAGAUACGGAUUCCCUUCGUAACCGUCAUUGCAGAAACAGCUACUGUGACCAAACCCAGAUAAGUAACUAUCCUCGCAAACACAACUUGAUUCGCUCGUGUCAUAAUCAUCACCCGUCAAAUUAAAACAACCCACUGGCUUCGCUAACUGAGUAACUGAUGCAUCAAAGAACCAUCCAAGCUCGAUCACAGUAAACCCAUUACUAGAAAUUUGCUCCGGCUGGAUAACAUUCGCCGGAGAGUAAGUCUCCUUCGUCAAGAAAGCGACUUUACAGCUCCCUCCUUGAGUUGUGUUACCACCAGCGGAGCUUUCUAAGUCAACGCCGAUCACUUGCGGUCUAUCCGCCGUGAUCAUCGCCUGACAACAUCUGUAACCACCGCAGAUCUUGUCUAGGCCUAGGCGACUCUUGUUCCUGUCGCAGCUCGAUUCACAUCCUAUGAUCUGAGAUUCGAGGUCGGUAACCAAAGCUCUGGUGUCGCAACCUACAGAGACGAGACGAUUUGACUGGGUGAUGAAAAAGGGGCUUCCUUUACCGGUGAGGUUUAAAGGAAGAGGCUUUUCGUCUCGUUGAGAACAGCCGGAGGAAGUCACCGGAGAUUUGAUGUGAAAGACGCCUUGGGUACUGUCGAUUGUUUUUCGAAGUGUUAUGCUCAUCAAUUCUCUGUUGAUCUUAGAGAGGAACGGAGUGGAGAGGGAGCUGGUGGUACAGACAACCUCGUACCAGUCGUUGAGAUAACAAUGUUUCGGUCCGAUACCGAAAGGGAACGGAAUCGAGAUUCCUCCACAGAAACGAUUACAUAAACUUGAAGAAGGGUCAAGGUUUUUAGCUGUUAUUAACAGUGUUAGGAGAGAGAGUAGAAUACAAAAUAAAAGUCUCUUGUUCUUCAUUAUUUUCUUCUUCUUUUGGCUAUGUUUUUUGGUUUCUUCAUGUCUGUGUUUUGCCUAAAUACUGUGCAUGAAAGUUGGCAAUUAUCAGUGUUACUUUGAAUAUAGCCUCGUUGUAAAUUUUAUACAUCACACUGACAAGUAAUAAAAAACUACUCAACGGUCUGAGAACCCAUGUGCAGGUUAGAGCACUUGCAACUGGGCAUGACAACAAAUCCGUCAGCCCGGUCCGUUGCACUUUUUGGAUUUUUUAACUAAUAUAAACCCAGCCCAUUUGACGGAUUGAUCCGUAAAUUGCAUCUUGACGGACCCGGUCCGUGGGCGACGUGGCGGAAAUAGAUUGGGCGGAGGCGCGAAUGUGUUUGGUCUUGGCGAGAAAAAAAUCGUCAUUUCGACGAAAGCAAAGAAAAAAAAAACCUCUCAACUCUCUAGGGCGAUUGUCGGAUCCCACCUUCGCGAUUCAACUCCGUCUGAUCGUCAAGGUAAGUAGAAGCGUUUUUUUCUAUAUUAAUCGAACUAGAUUGUUUCCAUUUAUAUUCAAUAGAGUUGGAAUCGUUUCGUAUCAAAAUUAGGGUUCGAAAAAAAUCUGCGAUUUGGGGAUUUUUUAUUUUCAAUCGAUUUGCUUUCGUUUCAAUCCAUUUUGUUUUGUUUCAAUCGAUUAUUUUCCGUUUAAAUCAGGUUUCGAUUAGUUUUCGAUCGAUUUAGGGAUUUGAAGACCCUUUUGGGUCUCGAUCGAUUUAGGGAUUUGAAAACCCUUUUGGGUCUCGAUCGAUUUAGGGAUUUGAAAACCGUUUUGGGUCUCGAUCGAUUUAGGGAUUUGUAAAUUGUGCAUUUUUUCCAUUCGAUUUAGGGUUGCGACUCUAUUUAGUGUCGAAUGGUGUUCGUCUUUCUUAUUGUUUUUCAAAAUCAAUGCUAAUCUUUGCUUUUUGCUUGUCUCUUUCUUUGCAGGUUAAGGAAAAUGGGAAGGUAUAGCUAUAGCCAGCCGUCCUCAUCAUCAGCGUCCAUCGACAUCACCUCACUUCUCGACGCUGAAGCUCAGUUGUACGCCGAUGAAGCUCAGAGUAGCUUCGAUAAUGGAGAGCCGUUUCAGAACCAACCUCAACCUGAGGGGGAUGAUGGCAUCCCGACGAUCUGCUACUGUGGGAGUGAGCCGGUUGUUGCUACAGCCUACACGGAAAAAGAUCCAGGCCGUAGGUAUUUCACCUGCAACAAUGUCGUUGAUGGAGCCACUCACAUCUGGAAGUGGUGGGAUGACGCGGUCAUGGAGGAGAUGAGGGACUUUCAGACGGAGAUAAGACGGCUUAAGGAAGCAGUUGCAGAGAGAGAGAAGAAGCUGCUGCUGCUAGAGAAGACUGUGUACGACGCAGGAAAGGAUACCACACGAGUUAAGCUAAUGGUGUGCCUGCUAGUGGUCAUAGGUUUGGUAAUCUUGGUUCUACAUGGUAAGUUCUCGACUUAUUAGGAUUUCAUUUUCAGUUUAUGCGUUUGUAUUAAAACAUUUGACUGCCUAAUGUUACUUGUUUGCAGGAGUAGCUUCAAAGGCUUCAAUGGGGGAGUGUUCUAUCACCUGUCCAAUGGCCAAAAAAGUAAAGGUACUCUGCUUUUCUUUUCUAUCACUUGACAAUGUAUAUUCCGUAAAAAAAAAAUUCAAAUAGUAUUGUAGAUUAAUUGAAUGGUUUUUGUAGGUAGAUAAAAAACUAAGACUGUAUUAAUAAAUGCUACUGAUUUGCUUUAUAUCUUCCCAACCCGUGUGAUUUGAUUGGUUUUAAAGGUUCUACGUUUAAAUUGCUGUAGAUUAAUUGAAUGGUGUUUGGUUAAAUAGCUGUUAUAGUACAUAGGAUUUAAUUUUGCUACUGAUUUUUGCCACUGAUUUUGAAUGGUGUUUGGUUAAAUUGCUUUUAGUUUGCUUCCUAUCUUCCUAACUGCUCAGAUUUGAUAGGCUUUUAUUGUAUAAUAAAUUGGAACAUGUAUUACUUAAGGCUAUUGCGAGGAAAACAUAUUCCUCGCAAAUCCAUUGUCGCAAAUUUGCGACGGAAGAUGUUUCCUCGCACAUUUGCGACGGAAGAUGUUUCCUCGCAAAUUUGCGACGGAAGAUGUUUCCUCGCAAAUUUGCUACGGAAAUGUUUCCUCGCAAAUUUGCGAUGGAAAAUGAUUUCUCGCAAAUUUGCGAUAGAUUUAAGAAACGCAGUUUCCUCGCAAUUUCUUGAAAAAUAUUUUUAAAAAAAAUUAUGAAAUUGAAAAAUAAAAUAAAUAUAUAGCAUAUAUAUAACUAACAAAUAAUUUCACUCUUACCGAAAAAUAUAUUAAUUGUAUAUAUAUGUGAAUAUGUGUACAUAAGAGAAUAUAUUAUGAAUAUUAUAAAUUUACAAAUACAUAUUCCUAUAUAUUAAACCGGUUUACAACUUUUUUUUUAUUUCUUUUUUUGUUGGCACCUCACACCUACCUGUUUAAAACUUAACCUAAUUUAAAAAAAAAAAGAAAAAAGAAAAAAAAACUAAUAAAAAAAAAAAAGACGCCGGCCGAUGUCCUUCCCAUGUCUCUAUCCUUGCUUCUUCUUCAUCACCGGCAAGAGUCACGAACGACGGCGAAAACUACAGAUUUCAGGGACUUGGUCAGAGGCGGUGAGUGAGGAAAGGCGGGAGAAUUCGGUGAAGAAGAGCGAGCUUCAGAUUUGGGAGGCGUUCACGAAUUUGGCAGUACAUCAAAGGAGGAGAUCUGGAUUCGUACAUGAGGAAGGGAGGCGUGGAAAAGAAGAUGAACGGUUAAAGGCUCGUGAAGGAUGAGAGAUAAGAAGAAAUUGUAGACUAGAUUAUGAGAUGCUAAGGAAAUAAAGAAGAAGAAUUGCAGAUGAGGAAGAGUUAAGCAAGAAGAAGUGUUAAGGAGGAGACUACGGGACGUGAAAGGAGGAGAGCAGAAGAUUAAAAAAAAGCAUCUGGACCAUUGAUUCAAAAUUAAUCAAUGGACACAGAUUACAAUCCUUGCAUUUAGAUAUUCCACCAAUGAGGAGGAGAGGCGGAUAUUGAAACGAAACAACAUCUGAACCAUUGAUUCAAGUUUAAUCAAUGGUCAUAGAUUGCAUCUAUGCAUUGACCAAUGAGAGUUUUACUUUUAAAAAAUUUAAAACAUUUUAGUUAAUGGUAGAUAAUUUAGUGGAUGUGUUUGAUUAUAUUUUGGC